AAGGAAGAAUUUGAAAUAUUUGCUAAUUGAAAUAGCAUACAAGUUGCAAAGUGACAGUUUUGAUACGAGAAACUCCUCCUACCACUGUAACCUCAACGCCUUGAGGCCGAAGUUGUUCAAGUAGAUACACCAUAAGACUGCAUUAUCUCUGAGUAUGUUCACCUGGAAUAAACAAAAUAUACCUGAGGGCAGAGACAGAGAAAAAAUCAAUGAUGAAGAGAGAGUAAUCCGUAUUCAUCUGGGUAAAAUCAAAACACAACUUAAAGCAACAACAACUGAAGUUACCUCUGUACUUCAACACUUGGGGAUGUGCUUUGACCUCCCUCAUCCAGAAACCAUGAUAGCUUCUGGUUCUUGAUACCAAACUUUGAGAUUCUUGUUCGCAGUAGCUAGCUACAUACGGAUGCACCUACAAAGAAAAAGCGCACUCAUAACCAAGCUAUGUUGAACAAUAUGUUAUAAAGAAGAAAACAUGAUCUAAAAAUUUGACCAUACCUGAGGGCAGAGGAUCUUCAAGUAGCAGGAGAGUAACCUUCUUACGACUUACCAGCAAUUAUUGAAGCUGCCACACUCCAGAGGGAUGAAUUUGAACAAAUAAUCUGCAUUGAGAUUGAGAAUAUAAAGGACCAAACAAAACAGUGAGUGAUACGCACAAUUAAGUAUUGAGGAGGCAAGCAAAAUAACCAAGAGCCUAGAAAGUCUCUCUCAAUAGCAUUCGUUGCAGGACAAAAGAUAAGAGUGAGAUACCAAUUAAUCAAACGGUCAGAACUCAUAAAAACAUAAAAGAAGAAGUUUACCGUACAACGAGACGAGACGAGACUCUAUUGUGUUGUGUGCGUCUUCGUGCCAUGUCCUAAUCACAAUCAAUUCCUGCAUAAACAAAGACGAAGAAGCAAUUUAAUCAAAGAUGAUACCAAAUCCCAACGAAGCCCCAUCAAAUCUCAAAACAAUAAUAAAAUUGAAGAUAAAAUUACUUGUUACAGAGUAGAACUUUGGUUUAAGAAUGAACACGGUAUAUAUCAGGAGAACCGUCUUCCUUGCUUGAAACCAGAGAGAGGAAUCAUAUACCGGUGACGCAAAGACGAUGAAAAGAAAAGUGAUGAAGUGAUCCCUAGACCCAACAUAAUACGAGAAUCAUCGACGACGAACUGAGAGAGAGAGAGAGAGAGAGCAAGAGAACUAAGGGGGAAAUAGAAUCAGAACUGAGAGAAUUAUAGAGAAGGAAGGAAGAAGAAGAACGAACAAAAGUGUAAGAGACUGUGUUUUCUUAGUCGAUGACAAUUUUUGGUAGAGAAACAGAAAACCCCCGUUUAUAUAGAAGAUGCUCUCACUAGUAAAAAGGAAAUAUCUGAGGACUGAAGCAUAAG
rnacentral:lncRNA from 1 species